rnacentral:rRNA from 1 species
CAGUCGCCGCGGUAAUACGUAGGUGGCAAGCGUUGUCCGGAAUUAUUGGGCGUAAAGGGCUCGCAGGCGGUUUCUUAAGUCUGAUGUGAAAGCCCCCGGCUCAACCGGGGAGGGUCAUUGGAAACUGGGAAACUUGAGUGCAGAAGAGGAGAGUGGAAUUCCACGUGUAGCGGUGAAAUGCGUAGAGAUGUGGAGGAACACCAGUGGCGGAGGCGACUCUCUGGUCUGUAACUGACGCUGAGGAGCGAAAGCGUGGGGAGCGAACAGGAUUAGAGACCCCAGUAGUCCCUGUCUCUUAUAC